CUAGUUAUAUACCAGCACAGAAGAGAGAGAGUGUGCGUGGUGCCACGGAGAGGAGGUGUUUCGCCCCCCUCGACACUUAAAACAACACCAGAAAAAAAAUUACAAGAAAGAAGAAAACCGAGCAAGUCGCAACUUAACCCCAAAAAAAAAAUAAAAUAAAAAUUAAUAAAAAAGAUUAAAAGGAAUCGUGAUGUUCCCCGGGUUGGAAUAAGGGGGCCCCCCUCGACGUUUUGUUUAUCCGUGUUUGUGUUUGGAAGAUUUCGAAGAGGCGAAGUAGAGGGAAAAGAGGAGACGCCACGAGAUUAAGAACAUAACCUAAAAAAUUUAAGAUGUCUUUUCGUGUGGUGCGUAGCUCGAAGUUUCGACACGUUUACGGGCAAGCUUUAAAAAGGGAGCAAUGCUACGAUAAUAUUCGAGUGAGCAAAAGCUCUUGGGAUUCAACAUUUUGUGCGGUUAACCCAAAGUUUUUGGCUAUCAUCGUCGAAAGCGCUGGAGGUGGUGCUUUCGUUGUGCUACCAUUAAAUAAGGUUGGUAGAAUCCCAGCUGAUCACCCCUUAGUGGGUGGCCACAAAGGCCCCGUUCUCGACAUAGCGUGGUGCCCCCACAACGAUAACGUCAUAGCGAGUGGUUCCGAAGACUGCGUGGUCAAAGUAUGGCACAUCCCCGAUCACGGCCUCAUAAAAACCCUCACAGAACCGGUCGUCGACUUGGUUUACCACCAAAGACGCGUGGGGUUAGUUUUGUGGCACCCCACCGCCCUCAACGUUUUAUUAACCGCCGGAAGUGACAAUCAAAUCGUCGUUUGGAACGUUGGAACGGGAGAGGCUUUGGUACAAAUCGACUGCCACCCCGAUAUCGUUUAUAGCGCGUGCUUUAAUUGGGACGGAUCGAAACUUUUAACGACAUGUAAAGAUAAAAAAAUUCGGAUAAUAAAUCCGCGCACCGGGGAAGUCGAAAGUGACGCCAUCUGUCACGAAGGAUCUAAAGCAACCCGCGCGAUCUUUUUACGCCACGGAUUGGUUUUUACAACCGGUUUUUCGAAAAUGUCGGAACGCCAAUAUAGUUUAAGAACCCCCGAUGCGUUAUCAGAACCAAUCGUGAUGGUCGAACUCGACACAUCAAACGGGGUUAUGUUUCCUUUAUACGAUCCAGACACAAAUUUGGUUUAUUUAUGCGGAAAAGGCGAUUCGGUCAUCCGAUAUUUCGAAAUAACCCCAGAACCACCCUUCGUCCAUUACAUCAACACGUUUCAAACCCCAGAUCCCCAAAGAGGAAUCGGAAUGAUGCCUAAACGAGGUUGCGACGUAACUUCAUGCGAAAUUUCCCGAUUUUUCCGACUAAACAAUUCCGGAUUAUGCCAAGUAAUAACAAUGACAGUCCCAAGAAAAUCGGAGCUAUUCCAAGAAGAUUUAUACCCCGACACUUUAGGCGACACACCAGCUCAAACAGCCGAUGAAUGGAUGGAGGGGAAAGACGCCGAACCGAUUUUAAUAUCACUAAAAGACGGGUACAAACCCCCCGAAUCAAAAUCAACGAUAAACGUAACGAAAAGGAGUAACUUAUUGGAUCGGAUGCAAAAAGGGAAAAGUCAAAGAGGUGAUUCUGGGGGCGCCCAAGUUUCUGAUAAGACGCUACAAGAGUUUGCCGAUGAAAUUAGGAAGUUAAAAGCGAUGAUUGUAAAGCAUGAAACGAGGAUUAGAAAGUUGGAGGAGGAAUUGUCGAAACAAAAGUCGAGUAAUAAUGCGGUGGCGCAUGAUGAGGAUGGAAGCGGCGGGGAUGGGUUGAAUUCGAACUGCCCGUCGGGGCCGCCUCCUAUGGCUUGCGACGAGGUGUAACCGGAAAUGCGAACGGCGACGUUGUCGUUGGAGGAAAUAACCCAAUUUUUUAUUUUGAUUAGUUUGCUCAAAUAAGGUUAAAAAACGAAACGAGAUAAUCGAUUUCGACAAACUGAACCCAACAAAAUCGAUUUGCAACGAAUUUUUUUUUAAAUAAAUCACUUUUUAGAUCGUACGAUGUAUAUAACAUAAAAGAAUUUAAUUAUUAGCAACGAUUCUUUUCGUUUACACUUUUUUUACGUUGAAAGAAAACCAGAUUUUUGCUUUAUUAAUAAUAAUAAUAACGAGUUAUUUAUUGAUAUAAUUUUAAUGUUCUUUUUGUACUCUAUUCAUUUCUUAUUAUUAUUAUCUUUGUUUCUUUCUCUCUAACGGCCGUUUGUUUGUUUGUUAUUUGCCGGACCGUGUAAAUAUUACAAAAAAAAUUAAUGCAAAUAGUAAUAAUAAUAACGAUAAUAAUAAAACAGGUUGGUGCUAAACUGCAGCCUCAAGUUCUCUCUAUGUAAUGAUUUGUUUGUUGUAACGAAGUGCCUUCUCUUGAUAAUGAUAAAAAAGGAAACUAAAUGAAUGAUCCCUUUAUUAGGUCUGCCUUAAUAAUAAAUGAUACGCACAAAAAUCCCUUUGUUAAUGAAAGCUUUAACCCCCUCCGAUAUAUAUAUAUGUAUGUUGAUGUUUUAAAGGAAUUGUAUUAUAAUUAAUAAUAAUAUAGGUCCCCUCUCCCUCUCAUUUUUGCCCCCGCACUUUGUACUUAAUCAUCGAAAAUCCCCAUCUCCUUUUAACACCAGUGUCCCCACGGCAGUGCCAAAUAUUAAGAUAACAAAGCCUUUUUUUUGCAAAAAAAUAGCUCUUAAUUAAUCAAAUAAAUGAAAUUGUCAGUGAUGAUGAAGUUGACACAAGGAAAAAUAAAUAAAAUUUUAAAGUUAA